rnacentral:rRNA from 1 species
UACGUAGGCAGCGAGCGUUGUUCGGAAUUACGUGGCGUAAAGAGCUCGUAGGCGGUGUGUCGCGUCGGCUGUGAAAACUCGGGGCUCAACUCCGAGCUUGCAGUCGAUACGGGCAGGCUAGAGUUCGGCAGGGGAGACUGGAAUUCCUGGUGUAGCGGUGAAAUGCGCAGAUAUCAGGAGGAACACCGGUGGCGAAGGCGGGUCUCUGGGCCGAUACUGACGCUGAGGAGCGAAAGCGUGGGGAGCGAACAGG